GUUGUGCUAGUGUCACUCCAGCCAGGUUUUUGUUAGAGGUACGUUCAGAUGACUUCUUGUUGGUCUUUUCUUUACUGCUUUGAGUGCUGACUUUUUGCCAGUAGUCUUUGGCUCCCAUGUGGUCCUUUUCCACCAUACAGCCAACCUUCACCAGCUGCUCAACCGAAUUGACGGUUCCCCUCAUACAUCCUGCAACCCUGGGGUUGAUGUUGUUGAGUAUGCGAUUUACUAAGUCCUCCUCAGAUAUAUCUGGCUUCCAUUUCAGACAUAGGGCCCGGUAGUCAUAUGCAAAGUCCCUCAGACGUUGUUGUGGCUGUUGAACCAUUGUCCUCAACUUUUCCUCCACUUCUGAGAGCUCAGAGCAGGUCCCUUCAGCACCGUGCUUAAGGUUCCUAAGAGUUCUGCACUGGGGAGGGGCCGAAUCUCCAGGAAGUUCUCACAUUGUUCAAUGAAAUUGAGCACCUCCGCCGUAUCACAGGAGUCACCAAAAGAGGGGAAUUCGAUGCGGAUAGGAGGUCGGGCACAGAAUGAGGAUGAACCUGCCACUACUGAAGGGAUACUCUAGCUGGGGUCGGUGGUUGAAGGACAGUGGAAAAUCGGGAG